rnacentral:lncRNA from 1 species
UUGGACUAACAUGUUGCAGGCCCUCCUUAGACCUAUUGGUCGAGCUUUUCCCUUGGGUGGCCGUACCCACUGGGAACCAUGGAGUUGGUUCUCACCCCACGUUGUUUUGGAGUGUUACAGGUUCGCACGUGAGCGGCGCGGCGGCGCAAGGCAAGGGCGUAGCUCCAUAGAUAGCGCCCUACCCCAGAGACCAGAGAUAGAGGUACCCCGAGUCGGCAUAGCCUAGGGGUAGAGGGAAAGAAAAAGAGCAAACUUGUAAUAAUAUUGCGAUCAUUGAUUGUAUUUGGAAGAAAAUGUAAUGUAAUAAUGCUAAUGUG